GUAGAAGGAAAUUGACUUUGUAAUCAUGAGAGAUGGUCUCCGUGUGACAAAAAUAGCCUGGCUUGAGUUGGCACCUGCUUCGGGUUUGUAUAGUCCUACAUGGCAAUCCGAACCUACCAAAGCCCAAUCCACGUGGAUCUGAACGUUGUAUACGUAGGUAAUGGUUGAAAUGAAAACCCUAGCAAGCUCUCUUUCCUAAUUCGAAACAUAACCCCAAAUCUGAAAUUUUGUUGCAAUUCGAACCAUAACCCAGAGUGAUCUCAGAACCCCAGCGAUGUCAUCACGCAGAUUUAACUCGGAUGGAAAUUUUGGAACUCGCAGCAGUUCUUCAAGUUCGAAGAAGAUGAAGGAGAAGAAGCUCGACGGCAAAUGUUUCUGUGGGAGAGAUGUUGUGUUGAUGGAGUCUGGAACGAUUACGAACCCUAACAGAUGGUUCAUCAGAUGUCCUCUAUGGGCGACAAGAGAUUGCAGAUAAUUUGUUUGGGUGGAUGAACUCGAACAAGGAUGGGAGGGCGUGGCAAGAUGUUUAGCAAAGAGGAAGUUCGAGCAUUGUUAUGCAACACCUGAUGAUGGAUUGACUCUGAGUUCAGGGGG